GGCCGGCUGGCCUAAUGGUUAAGGCGUCAGUUUCCGGUUUGAGAGUCUGGGUUCGAAUCCCAGGUUGGUCG